CAGCAAUGGCAAACGGAAAAGCAGCAAUUCAUUUCAAAAUAUGGCCAAUAUCUCAAAGCUGCCCCAAAAUGAUUCCCAUUUUUUUUGGCUUUUUUAUUUUUAUAUUUAUUUAAUUUGCAUCAUUUGAUUAUUCACUAUA
rnacentral:ribozyme from 1 species